AUAGAAAAUAUCUGAGCCAGUAUCUUACGUUUCAGGUCACCUCAAUAGUGUGAAAAGGGUAUAAGGUGCCUUCUCAUAAGUAGUCCUCUGACUGAAAUGAAUCAACCCUGAUAUUUUCCAGGCACUCAGGCAGAGUGCAAACCAACAAGUAACACAGUCUGCGACAUUCUAGAUGGAUUCUACUGUAGAAGCUACUCAUCCAACUCUGAGUGUAGCUUUGCAGUAGAACAUACACACUGUUCAGCGGGACAGAGUACUAAAUCACCUGGUACAAAGACAACAGAUACCAUGUGUGAGGAGUGUCAGCAUGGCUUUUACUCACAACAUGGUGUCAACUGCACUGCUUGGACUGGUUGUGCAGCAAUGGGACGCAUGAAGACUGAAGAUGGAAAUUCUAGACAAGAUGUUAUUUGUAACAAAGUGCCAUCAAGGAGUCAUACCACUCUAAUAGCUUCAAUAAUAUUGUUAUUAUUAGGCCUAUAGUAGCUGCACUGUUUUGUUUUCAUUAAAAAUAUAUAUUUUUUAAUCUAAAUCCUAGUCAUUUGAAGUUAAUAAAUCCUCAUACAACAUUGUUAUGCAAGCAAAAGUCUUUAUUGAAAAAUAAUUUCUAGUGAGUGAAAAAUUCUGUUAAUUUUAUGGCUAAAUAAUCCAAUGUUGUUAUUGUCAUUUAGUCUGUUUUAGUAGCUAUAGCAAUCCUAACUUUUGUAAUACAUCAUAGGUUCCUUUUCAAGAAACGGGACCUGUAUAAGUGACCAGUAAUUCCCUAGUGGAAACAGCAGAUAAUGUUGCUGGUAAUGUUGUAACUGGUGUAAGACUAAACUAGGAUGAAAUGCAAUGAAUGCAUGCAGAUACCCAGAAGGCUCUAAAACUGGAGCAUGCAGAUACCCAGAAGGCUGUAAAACUGGAGCAUGCAGAUACAGUAUCUGCAGGAGAUGACAUGAAUCUAGUAGUUAUGAAGAGGACUGGCCACCCCUCAGAGCCUGUUUCAUCUAGGUUUCUUCCUAGGUCCCUGCCUUUCUAGGGAGUUAUUCCUAGCCACCGUGCUUCUACAUCUGCAUUGUUUGGUGUUUAAGGCUGGGUUUCUGUAUACCACUUUGACAUCUGCUGAUGUAAACCGGCUUUAUAAAUACAUUUGACUUAUCAGGAGUGGACAGUUGAAUACAGUGACUGAAAUUGGUCAUCCAUAGCCACCUUUUCUUAAAUCCUACCACUUCUUAUAUCUGCCAGGACAUUAACACCUUUUACUUAAACUUUUAUAUUAACAGUACCUGUGCAUUUAACUAAACUUUUCUAAAUUCACUCUUUGAAACACCCAAACUGUUUUGAUGACUGUUUGACUAACAAUUAAAUUAUUGAUUCUCAUAAAUGAAUUUACACUGUCAAUCCAUGAGAUGGCGCACAAGUGUAACAGUUACAGCAACGCUCAAGAACUUCUUUGUUCUAGUUCUCAGUCACAGAACCCUGGAGACGAAAUAGAAUGGGCUAAUCAGAACCUAAUAGCCCAGUGAUCAGAAGAGGUGCAGAGACAUGCCUCUUUAGGGCUUUGUGUCAAUGAAUGACCCCACCAGCCUCCACUUUAUCCAGUAUUUUCUAUCAUAGUCAAUGUGGUAAGGAGAUGGCUGACAGGAAUUUAUAUUCCCUCAAGGGUUGCACUUUAUGUUUCAUUUAGUUGAGGUUUCCUUUUACUAGGUAUCAGACAGAGAGAACAUCAAUGCUGUUUGUGGGAAAAAGAACAGGUAAAGUAGCCUAUUAUCAGGACAUUAUCAGGGUUUUGUAUGUACAGAAUGGUAUGAGUUUUGUAAACUUGACAUCUUAUUAUGCUUAACAGAUUCAAGCCUCCAGGACAUUCAUCAGAACAAUCCAGUCUGGACUAGGCAGUAGGCCUCAUUUACCACUCCAUGGUAAAUGUGAUCUAGACUCCAUUUUUAAAUAUUGGAGGCUGGCACAUUUGUUUUGUGGUGUACAGAUGAAAAAGACCAUGCCCUUGAUAGAUGGCCUGAAACCCUAAAAUGUAACCAAAUAUAUAUAUAUAUAUAUGCACAGUACCAGGCAAACGUUUGGACACACCAACUCAUUCCAGGGUUUGUCUUUAUUUUUACAAUUGUCUACAUUGUAGAAUAGUGAAGACAUCAAAACUAUGAAAUAUCACAUAUGG